AAGUCGUAACAAGGUUUCCGUAGGUGAACCUGCGGAAGGAUCAUUAACGUAUCUCUGGCGGGGUGCUCGGUGCACCCCCCGCUCCGGCCAUGAUGCUGUGUAGCGGGGGGGAGCCCGGGUCCCGUCCAACCUUCACAAACCCACCGUGCACAUUCACGGCCGAGGGCCCCUUGGGGCCUGAAGCCGCGUCACCAAACUCCAGUAUCAAAUGAAUGUAUCGAAUUGUGGCCUCUGUGCUGCCUAAAAACAAAACAACUUUCAACAACGGAUCUCUUGGCUCUC
rnacentral:misc_RNA from 1 species